AUUGAACGCUGGCGGCAUGCCUUACACAUGCAAGUCGAACGGCAGCACGGGAGCAAUCCUGGUGGCGAGUGGCGAACGGGUGAGUAAUGUAACGGAACGUGCCCAGUCGUGGGGGAUAACGUAGCGAAAGCUACGCUAAUACCGCAUACGAUCUAUGGAUGAAAGCGGGGGAUCGCAAGACCUCGCGCGAUUGGAGCGGCCGAUAGCCGAUUAGGUAGUUGGUGGGGUAAAGGCUCACCAAGCCGACGAUCUGUAGCUGGUCUGAGAGGACGACCAGCCACACUGGGACUGAGACACGGCCCAGACUCCUACGGGAGGCAGCAGUGGGGAAUUUUGGACAAUGGGCGCAAGCCUGAUCCAGCAAUGCCGCGUGCAGGAUGAAGGCCUUCGGGUUGUAAACUGCUUUUGUACGGAGCGAAAAGGCUCUCUCUAAUACAGGGGGCUCAUGACGGUACCGUAAGAAUAAGCACCGGCUAACUACGUGCCAGCCGCCGCCGUAAUAC
rnacentral:rRNA from 1 species